CAUACACUAAUACAGGAAUGCAAAGACUAUAACCCACCACUCCUUAAUAACAUCCCCAUGCCACUACUUGGGCUGCUGUGAUGACCCCAAAAGUAGCACCACAACUCUAGAACCAUCAAUACAAGCACAGUGGGGGAGAAACCCCCUUAUGCAACUAGUGGAAUAAAAUACAUACCAAUGCGUAUGCCUUACAUUUUGUUCUCAUUGAAUAUUUAACAGGAGCUCCUAUACCACAAUUUUAACUUACAG
rnacentral:misc_RNA from 1 species